UACGUAGGGUGCGAGCGUUAAUCGGAAUUACUGGGCGUAAAGCGUGCGCAGGCGGUUUUGUAAGCCAGAUGUGAAAUCCCCGGGCUUAACCUGGGAAUGGCAUUUGGGACUGCAAGGCUCGAGUGCGGCAGAGGAGACUGGAAUUCCCGGUGUAGUGGUGAAAUGCGUAGAUAUCGGGAGGAACACCAGUGGCGAAGGCGACUACCUGGCCUGUUCUUGACGCUGAGGCGCGAAAGCUAGGGGAGCAAACGGG
rnacentral:rRNA from 1 species